GGGCCUCUAGCUCCAAAUGGUUAGAGCACUGGACUUUUAAUCCAUGGGUUGUGGGUUCGAAUCCCACGGGGCCUA
rnacentral:tRNA from 1 species